rnacentral:rRNA from 1 species
UGGGGAAUAUUGGACAAUGGGCGAAAGCCUGAUCCAGCCAUGCCGCGUGUGUGAAGAAGGCCUUUUGGUUGUAAAGCACUUUAAGCGAGGAGGAGGCUACUAGUACUAAUACUACUGGAUAGUGGACGUUACUCGCAGAAUAAGCACCGGCUAACUCUGUGCCAGCAGCCGCGGUAAUACAGAGGGUGCGAGCGUUAAUCGGAUUUACUGGGCGUAAAGCGUGCGUAGGCGGCUGAUUAAGUCGGAUGUGAAAUCCCUGAGCUUAACUUAGGAAUUGCAUUCGAUACUGGUCAGCUAGAGUAUAGGAGAGGAUGGUAGAAUUCCAGGUGUAGCGGUGAAAUGCGUAGAGAUCUGGAGGAAUACCGAUGGCGAAGGCAGCCAUCUGGCCUAAUACUGACGCUGAGGUACGAAAGCAUGGGGAGCAAACAGG